CAGAUGACAACUGAAUUUGCACUUCACAAAACACUUCGCGAAACACAACAGCCAUGAUGAUGAGCUGGAGAAUUGUUUUCUGAGCGGGAAGUUCAGCAUUUCAAAGUUCGAGAAUUCGAAUGUGGUUCUGCUAUUGAUGACCAUUCCUAGAAAGCUGUCAAUCACAGCAUUCUUGGAGGAAAGCAAUUCCAGCUGAGUGGC
rnacentral:snoRNA from 1 species